rnacentral:rRNA from 1 species
AACGAACGCUGGCGGCGCGUAUUAAGCAUGCAAGUCGAACGGCAGUCCGGGUAGCAAUACCUGGGCGAGAGUGGCGAACGGGUGAGUAACACGUAGGUGAUCUACCUCUGGAUGGGGGAUAGUCCGUGGAAACACGGGGUAAUACCGCAUAAGGCCUUGUGGGUGAAGCCAUGAGGUGAAAGGUCCAAUUGGACCGUCUGGGGAUGAGCCUGCGGCCCAUUAGGCAGUUGGCGGGGUAAUGGCCCACCAAACCGACGAUGGGUAGCCGGCCUGAGAGGGUGUACGGCCACACUGGAACUGAGACACGGUCCAGACUCCUACGGGAGGCAG